GGCGCAGUGGCGGAGUGGUCUAACGCGAUAGACUAGAAUAAUCUCUGGGAGCAGCUACGAUGUUCUUCAGUAGGUCUCUAGCUCAUCUAUUCCCUUCGGGGGCGUCUGUUCGAAUCAGGCCUGCGUCG